rnacentral:rRNA from 1 species
GACGAACCUUGCUAACGUUAUUCGGAAUUACUGGGCUUAAAGGGUGCGUAGGCGGUGCGGAAAGUCGGGUGUGAAAUCCCCCAGCUCAACUGGGGAAUUGCGCCUGAAACUACCGUGCUCGAGGAAGACAGAGGUACGCGGAACUUAGGGUGGAGCGGUGAAAUGCGCAGAUAUCAGGAGGAACACCUAUUGCGAAGGCAGCUCGCUGGGACGUAACUGACGCUGAGACGCGAAAGCGUGGGGAGCAAACAGG